AUGGCGAGUUUUGGGAAACUUACGGACUACUUCAACCGUCGUAAGUCCCGCGAGGAGCUGAGGGGGGGCAGGAGCUCACGGAGGAGCGGCAGCUACUGCUGUACGGUGGCGGAGGCCAGGUCGUUGGAGAGGAAGCUGCAGAGGCCUCUAUUGGCCAAGUCCCGGACACUACCCAGCAUCCCCCAGUCCCCUACCGUGGCCAGGGUCCACCACUCAGACCUGAUUGGUGGGAGUCCUCCUCGCAGGACGUCUUUGGCCAGCAACAACAAUCAGCCCAAGGCCUGCACUUUGCCCCCUGAAGGGGAGCUGUGGCGUCUGGAGGACGACGUGGAGGACGAGGAGGAGGCGGGGCGUCUGUGUGCCGCCGCCCGCCCCCGUUCACAAUCGCCCUUCUCCCACUUCCGCACGCGCACCGCAUACCUGCGCAAGAGCGUCUCUGUGGACGACCCCCUGGGCAUGGUAGACUACUGCUCGUCGGCGCCCCUCGAGGGUAAAGGCAGUCGCGGCGGCAAGGGCAAGCUCAAGAGGAAGUUUGUAAGUACCCAACUUCCUGUCUUUCCUUUCAAAAGAGCAUAGAGAGAUUAUCCCAGCCAACACACAGCCACCACAAAAUGUUGGCUCAAAGUUAUGGGUAUCAAUGUGAUAUCAGUCUUUUUUAGUUCAAAUGACAACCUAGAGAAUUCGGUCCCUUUUCAAAUGACUGUAUUUGUGAUUGUGUCAUCCUUCACUUAACUGUGCACAUGUAAGUGUUUGCCAACGCACACACACACACUGGUUGACC
rnacentral:lncRNA from 1 species